CCUACGGGAGGCAGCAGUGGGGAAUAUUGCACAAUGGACGAGAGUCUGAACCAGCCAAGUAGCGUGAAGGAUGACUGCCCUAUGGGUUGUAAACUCCUUUUAUAUGGGAAAAAAACGUUCCACGUGUGGGAUUUUGUAUGUACCAUAUGAAUAAGGAUCGGCUAACUCCGUGCCAGCAGCCGCGGUAAUACGGAGGAUCCGAGCGUUAUCCGGAUUUAUUGGGUUUAAAGGGAGCGUAGGUGGAUUGUUAAGUCAGUUGUGAAAGUUUGCGGCUCAACCGUAGAAUUGCAGUUGAAACUGGCAGUCUUGAGUACAGUAGAGGUGGGCGGAAUUCGUGGUGUAGCGGUGAAAUGCUUAGAUAUCACGAAGAACUCCGAUUGCGAAGGCAGUUCACUGGACUGCAACUGACACUGAGGCUCGAAAGUGUGGGUAUCAAACAGGAUUAGAUACCCUUGUAGUC
rnacentral:rRNA from 1 species